GAUGAACGCUGGCGGCGUGCCUAAUUCAUGCAAGUCGAGCGAACAGACGAGGAGCUUGUUUCACUGACGAGAGCGGCGGAAGGGUGAGUAACGCGUGGAUACUCUACUUAUAAGACUGGGAAAACUUCGGGAAACCGGAGAUAAUAUCGGAUAAUAUAUUGAACAGUAUGGUUGAAUAGUGAAAGUCGGUUUUGCGGGCACUUAUUGAUGGAUCCGCGCCGCAUUAGCUAGUUGGCAAGUCAACGGCUUAUCACGGCAACUAUGAGUAGCCGACCUGAGAGAGGGGUCGGCCACACGGGAGCAUGAACACGCUCCCGACGCCAACGAGAGGCACCAGGAGGUAAUCUUCCGCAAUGGGCGAAAGCUUGGCAGAGCAGCGCCGCGUGAGUGAUGAAAAUCUUCAGGUCGUAAAACUCUGUUAUUAGGGAAGAACAAAUGUGUAAGUAGCCGAGCUCGUCUUGACGGUACCUAAUCAGAAAGCCACGGCUAACUACGUG
rnacentral:rRNA from 1 species